rnacentral:lncRNA from 1 species
UCAAGAGAAUGUGUUAGAAAGCAGAGAGAAUUUUCUUGUAUAUUUGGUGUCGACCAACUGAAGCAACAUACCUUACAAAAUAACAAGGAUCCCCUUUAUAUAGGAGGGGAAUCCAAACAUAGUACAAAAUACAUUAAUAACAAAGAAGCGGAGAUGGGACAACUAGAUGACACCAUGGUUCAAGGUUUGGUUAGUCCACUAAGCUAUAUCAGUCCUAGCCGUGUACCUUGGUAACUCGCAACUUCUACCAUAGUCAUGGUUAACAUUGUCCCAAGGUCGGGCAUCGAUGAACCUCGAGGGAGGAAACUCGACCGUAGCCUUGUAUCUUCGAGGCUUCGAAAUGAUCUUCUGAGGUGCCUCGAUGACGAGGAAUUGGACCCUUCGAUUUCAUCAUAUACAAUGUUCUUCAAGUUUCUUCCAUGGGGUAAGUGCUUUCUUCUCGGCUAUGAUUAUAUUCCGUGAUUCCAUAUUCAUUUUUAGCAUUUGAUUAAUGAUUUCAAUUGAGAAAUUGGGGGGUUUUGUCUAGACUUUCUUAGAGUAAAUUUUUGAGUUAUGAACACUGAUUCAGAGUCGAAAUUUAGUGAAAUUAGUAUGGUUACACUGAUAAUUGAAUGCGUUGUCAGAUUUUGUGAGUUUUGUCAUGCUCCAAGGUGCGGGCUUGGGUUUAACUUUUUGGUUGACUUUGGGUAAAUGUGUAAAGAUUUUACAUUUAUCGAAUUAGUUUUCUUUUUAUGGCAUUAUUUGAUAAUUUUGACUUACUUUUGGCUAGUUCAUUUGAAAGAUGAUUUGAGCGGGAUGCCGCUUCUAGUGUAUCAAUUGGGCUUGUUUAAGGUAAGUAUUUUUUCUAAAUUUAUGUGGAGGAACUACCCAUUUAGGAUUGGGGUUGAUUGUGCUAUUUGUGUUAUGUGAAGGCCGUGUAGGCAAGGUGACGAGUGAGUACACAGUCUAUAUAUGGUAUUUGACCAGUUUAGAUUAUCUAGACUCUUUCCAUGCCUUUAAUUGAAUUUUCAAAACAUGUUAUAUCUCCCAUUGUUAAUCUACUCUUACGUGCUCUAUUUGAUGUUGUUAACACUUGUUCUACCUCUUACUUGUUAUUUUACUCUUAUUUGCUUUAGUUAAAGUUAUUGCCUUCCUUAUUCUCUUGUUACAUCUUAAUUGUUGAAUCACUUUUAAUUGAAGUUGUUAUUUCGUGGCAUAUCAUCUUGUUGAGUUAUUGGUGUUGAAGUUGUAAUAGCCGUUAUCAUGUUACGGAAAAUGUGUUAAUUGUUGAUUUACUUUUCUUGUUGAGCAUUCUCAUUCAUUCUGUUAUUGUUGAAAUUUGUGUACACAUUUUGAUUGAGUCAUGGGAUAUUUGUUAUGAAUAUAUUGGUGUUGUUGACAUUGUGGCAAGUUGGGACAUGUCGGCACUUGUGGUGCGAGUUUUGAUUGUGUUUUGAUAUUGAUACGCAUGUGGUGGUAUAAGGCGACGGGUUGAUACGCAUGCGGUGAGAUAAGGUGGGCUUGAUAUCUGUGUUACUAGUAGGGGAACUACUUGAAGCCACACAGUGAGAUAAGGUGGGCUAAAAGGCGAGAAGCUAUUUCGGGAAAAUAAUUUUAAAAAUAUUAUGUAAGGUUCAUGCGGUGAUAUAAGGAAAGAUUGUUAUUGAAGUUGUGAAAUGUGAAUACGAGGCAGUACCUCGGUUGUAAUUUUAUUGUACAUUCCAUGUUGGAACAACUUGGUCAUUGUUCUUCCUUUAAUCAUACAUUCAUCCGCAUUUUGAUUGUGUUUGAUUAUUUGUUCUUAUCUUGGUAUUGGGACGACUGUGGUUUCUUUUGUAAGUAAUACAUUCUACGUGAUUUAUUGUAUUGCUUUAACGUGCCACUUUGUGCCUCGUUAUAACUUGGUGAAUUGAUUGUCAAUGUGAAUUUAAUUGCAUGGAGUCACUAUAUCAAAUUAUGUCGAGUUGACGGUUACAUAAUGGUUUAAAUAAAAAAAUUAUUAACAUGAUUUAUUAUAUGUUCCUCUUAAGAUAGAAGUUGUUAUCUUACUCGGUACCUUAUUAUUCUAAAUAGUUAUCGUACAAUUGGAUUCUCACGGUAUACUUUUCGCCCUGUUAGAUGUUUACCUUACUUAAAAUUGUUAUUAUGUUUUUCUUUAACAAAUUCUAUAUUUAAUUCGUUAAUUUUACUUAUGUUUUGCUUUAUUUAAUAAUGAUACAUUUACUCAAUUUUUUGAUUUCUAAUCUAAACCCAUCUUAUACUCUGUUUCAUACAAAUUGUAUAUUAUUUUACUUUACUUGAUUUAUAAAAUAAACUCACUACUUCAUUUGACAAUUUAUUUUAUUCAACAUUUUAAUUAUGCUUUAUGGUGUCUAAAUAUAUCUUUCGUUCAUCUACAUUAAAUUUUAUCAUGGUUGCAUAGUACAUGGGCACGUAGGCUUUGCCGUGUGAAGGCAAUUGUUAUUGUGGGCAUGAGGUGCCAUAUGUGUCAUAUUUGAAAAUUGUGGUUCAUGACUUGUGGUUUAUGAGGUGUAGUGCCUCAGGGUAAUACUUGUAAGUCCAUGGAUUGGGAGUGAUUUGAUUAUUUGAGUUGUCAUCCGUUUUUUCCUUAUUUGAGUACGUUUAUAUCUGAUCGGUGUUAUGAUUAUGUUGUUUCUUUAUUACUCGUUUAGUACUUGCUGCCAUUUAUGUUUCUAUUAAUUCAUUGUUGGUUGUAAAUCAAUAAUUUUUUUCGUCGUUAGUCUUGCAUUGAUGAUCUUUCCAUUGUUAGCUUAUGUAUAUCUUGAACAGGUUUUUAUAUGUAGUAGGUGUCUUGACCUGACCCCGUCAGUGCUAUACUGAGGUUAAGCUUGAUACUUAUCGGGUAUCGUUCAGGUGUACCCAUGUUAUGCUUCGCACAUUUUUGUGCAGAUCCAGCUAUUGCGAUCGUGUUGUUUAGAGUUGCGUCUACACAGCAGGAGACUUUAAGGUACACCUGUUUGACGUUUGCAAACCUCGGAGUCACCAUCUUACUUCAUUAUGCUGCUGUUAAAUUGUAAUCAAAAUAAUAUUAUGUUUAGAAAUUCUAGUGUGUUUCAGUAGUGCUUAUGACUAUGUACUACCGGUUUUGAGAAUUGUAUAACUAUUAGUUGUUUGCAGAUAUGUAUCUCAGUUAAUAGUUUAUGAUAAUGAUAAAUUGUUUCAUUCUUUCAUUAAAUCAGCACGUGUUAGGCUUUCCCAGUCUUAGAGACUAGGUGCCAUCACGAUAUCCUACAGUGGGAAGUUGAGAUCGUGACAUCAACAACUAAAAUUUACAAGAAUUUCUAUAUCAAGAGAGUAAUGUACGAGGCAAUGAAGAAUGACAUAUUAAUGAAAGAAUAUAUAACAACUCGAAUGUAUCAACUUUACCAACUCAUCAAUAUCAAGAGAUUAACAACUCAUACAACUGAAACUAUAUUA